rnacentral:miRNA from 1 species
CAUGAGCUCGGCACUCGGGUAGA